GAUGAACGCUGGCGGCGUGCCUAAUACAUGCAAGUCGAGCGAACAGACGAGGAGCUUGCUCCUCUGACGUUAGCGGCGGACGGGUGAGUAACACGUGGAUAACCUACCUAUAAGACUGGGAUAACUUCGGGAAACCGGAGCUAAUACCGGAUAAUAUAUUGAACCGCAUGGUUCAAUAGUGAAAGACGGUUUUGCUGUCACUUAUAGAUGGAUCCGCGCCGCAUUAGCUAGUUGGUAAGGUAACGGCUUACCAAGGCAACGAUGCGUAGCCGACCUGAGAGGAUGAUCAGCCACACUGGAACUGAGACACGGUCCAGACUCCUACGGGAGGCAGCAGUAGGGAAUCUUCCGCAAUGGGCGAAAGCCUGACGGAGCAACGCCGCGUGAGUGAUGAAGGUCUUCGGAUCGUAAAGCUCUGUUAUUAGGGAAGAACAAAUGUGUAAGUAACUAUGCACGUCUUGACGGUACCUAAUCAGAAAGCCACGGCUAACUACGUG
rnacentral:rRNA from 1 species